rnacentral:rRNA from 1 species
UACGUAGGUGACAAGCGUUGUCCGGAUUUACUGGGCGUAAAGCGCACGUAGGCGGAUCUUUAAGUCAGAGGUGAAAUCCCAAGGCUCAACCUUGGAACUGCCUUUGAUACUGGGGAUCUUGAGUCCGGGAGAGGUGAGUGGAACUGCGAGUGUAGAGGUGAAAUGCGUAGAUAUUGGGAAGAACACCAGUGGCGAAGGCGGCUAACUGGUCCAGAUCUGACGCUGAGGUGCGAAAGCGUGGGGAGCAAACAGG